UACGUAGGGGGCUAGCGUUGUCCGGAAUCAUUGGGCGUAAAGAGCGUGUAGGCGGUCCGGUAAGUCCGCUGUGAAAGUCGGGGGCUCAACCCUGGGAUGCCGGUGGAUACUGUCGGGCUCGAGUCCGGAAGAGGAGUGUGGAAUUCCUGGUGUAGCGGUGAAAUGCGCAGAUAUCAGGAGGAACACCAAUGGCGAAGGCAGCACUCUGGGACGUGACUGACGCUGAGGCGCGAAAGCGUGGGGAGCAAACAGG
rnacentral:rRNA from 1 species